rnacentral:rRNA from 1 species
UUCAACGGCCGCGGUACCCUAACCGUGCGAAGGUAGCAUAAUCACUUGUUCUUUAAAUGAGGACUUGUAUCAACGGCAUCACGAGGGUUAAACUGUCUCCCUUUUCAUAUCAGUGAAACUGAUCUCUCCGUGAAGAAGCGGAGAUAAUACCAUAAGACGAGAAGACCCCAUGGAGCUUUAAACCCAACUACACCCUAGCCUAAUUACUACUUCUUAAUUUUAAGGUCCUGUAUGUUUUGGUUUUAGGUUGGGGUGACCGCGGAGUAUAAACUAACCUCCACAAUGAAUAGAUUUCCUCUUUAUCUAAGAGCUACACCUCCAAGAAUUAGAAUUCUAACAUAAAAUGAUCCGAUAUUUGAUCAACGAACCAAGUUACCCUGGGGAUAACAGCGCAAUCCACUUCAAGAGCUCCUAUCGACAAGUGGGUUUACGACCUCGAUGUUGGAUCAGGGUAUCCCAGUGGUGCAGCAGCUACUAAAGGUUCGUUUGUUCAACGAUUAAAACCCU